GACGAACGCUGGCGGCAGGCCUAACACAUGCAAGUCGAGCGAGCGGCGGACGGGUGAGUAAUGUAUGGGGACUGCCCGAUAGAGGGGGAUAAAUACUGGAAACGGUGGCUAAUACCGCAUACUAUCGGAUAACCCAUAUGGGAUUAGCUAGUAGGUGGGGUAAAGGCUAACCUAGGCGACGAUCUCUAGCUGGUCUGAGAGGAUGAUCAGCCACACUGGGACUGAGACACGGCCCAGACUCCUACGGAGGAAGGAGGGGGGAAUAUUGCACAAGGGGCGCAAGCCUGAUGCAGCCAUGCCGCGGGUAUGAAGAAGGCCUUAGGGUUGUAAAGUACUUUCAGCGGGGAGGCGUUACCCGCAGAAGAAGCACCGGCUAACUCCGUGCCAGCAGCCGCGGUAAUAC
rnacentral:rRNA from 1 species